rnacentral:tRNA from 1 species
UGGGGUGUAGCCAAGCGGUAAGGCACCGGGUUUUGAUCCCGGCAUUCGGAGGUUCGAAUCCUCCCACCCCAGCCA